UUGCUUUGGCAGCACGUAUACUAAAAAUGGUGUGAUACAGAAAAGAUUAUCAUGACCUCUGUGCAAUGAUGAUGUGCAAAUUCAUAAAGCAUUCUGUAUUUUU
rnacentral:snRNA from 1 species